AUUGAACGCUGGCGGCAUGCCUUACACAUGCAAGUCGAACGGCAGCACGGGAGCAAUCCUGGUGGCGAGUGGCGAACGGGUGAGUAAUACAUCGGAACGUGCCCAGUAGUGGGGGAUAGCCCGGCGAAAGCCGGCUUAAUACCGCAUGAGACCUGAGGGUGAAAGCGGGGGAUCGCAAGACCUCGCGCUAUUGGAGCGGCCUAUGUCAGAUUAGCUAGUUGGUGGGGUAAAAGCCUACCAAGGCAACGAUCUGUAGUUGGUCUGAGAGGACGACCAGCCACACUGGGACUGAGACACGGCCCAGACUCCUACGGGAGGCAGCAGUGGGGAAUUUUGGACAAUGGGGGCAACCCUGAUCCAGCAAUGCCGCGUGCAGGAAGAAGGCCUUCGGGUUGUAAACUGCUUUUGUCAGGGAAGAAAUCCUCUGGGUUAAUACCUCGGGGGGAUGACGGUACCUGAAGAAUAAGCACCGGCUAACUACGUGCCAGCAGCCGCGGUAAAAC
rnacentral:rRNA from 1 species